ACCUGCCUGAAAGUCCGGGAUAACCCCGGGAAACCGGAGCUAAUACCGGAUGAGCCUGUCGACCGCCUGGUCGACGGGGAAAAGCGGGGAUUUUCCUCGCGCUUUCAGAUGGGCCCGCGGCGCAUUAGCUUGUUGGAGAGGUAAAAGCUCCCCAAGGCAACGAUGCGUAGCCAACCUGAGAGGGUGAUCGGCCACACUGGGACUGAGACACGGCCCAGACUCCUACGGGAGGCAGCAGUAGGGAAUCAUCCGCAAUGGGCGAAAGCCUGACGGUGCAACGCCGCGUGAGUGAAGAAGGUUUUCGGAUCGUAAAGCUCUGUUAUCCGAGAAGAACAAGGACUGGUCAAACAGGCCGGUCCCAUGACGGUACCGGAUCAGAAAGCCCCGGCUAACUACGUGCCAGCAGCCGCGGUAAUACGUAGGGGGCAAGCGUUGUCCGGAAUUAUUGGGCGUAAAGGGCGCGCAGGCGGUUUCCUAAGUCUGAUGUGAAAGGCCACGGCUCAACCGUGGAAUGGCAUUG
rnacentral:rRNA from 1 species